rnacentral:rRNA from 1 species
GACGAACGCUGGCGGCGUGCUUAGCACAUGCAAGUCGAACGGAAAGGCCCUGCUUUUGUGGGGUGCUCGAGUGGCGAACGGGUGAGUAACACGUGAGUAACCUGCCCUUGACUUUGGGAUAACUUCGGGAAACUGGGGCUAAUACCGGAUAGGAGCUCCUGCUGCAUGGUGGGGGUUGGAAAGUUUCGGCGGUUGGGGAUGGACUCGCGGCUUAUCAGCUUGUUGGUGGGGUAGUGGCUUACCAAGGCUUUGACGGGUAGCCGGCCUGAGAGGGUGACCGGCCACAUUGGGACUGAGAUACGGCCCAGACUCCUACGGGAGGCAGCAGUGGGGAAUAUUGCACAAUGGGCGGAAGCCUGAUGCAGCAACGCCGCGUGCGGGAUGACGGCCUUCGGGUUGUAAACCGCUUUCGCCUGUGACGAAGCGUGAGUGACGGUAAUGGGUAAAGAAGCACCGGCUAACUACGU